UGAAAGAGAGAGAAGUGGGACUCACUCAAAGCAGGGCUUGUGUUUUACCUGAAGCAGGGCUCUUGCUCUCCUGAUGUAGGACUUGAACUCCCAAAUCACAAGAUCUUGACCUGAGCUACCCAGGUGCCCCUUUUGUUCUAUUCGGGUCCGCAACAGAUUGGAAGAUGCUCGCACACGUUAGGGAGGGCAACCUACUUUAUUAAAUCUGCUGAUUCAAAUGCUAAUCUUAUCCAGAACCACCCUAACAGACACUCCCAGAAAUAAUAUGUAAUCAGGGCACCCCGUGGCCGGUCAAAUUGAUUACCUGUUGUAAGUACCUAUUACCUAAAAUUAUCACGGAGCCCUUGUACAUUGCUGGUAGGAGUGUACAAUGUUGUCGCUACUGGAGAAAAUGAUACAAUUCCUCAAAAACACUGAACAGUUACCAAACAGUCCAGCAAUUCCACUGCUAGGUAUAUAUGCAAAAGAACUGAAAGUGAGGUCUUGAAUAGAUAUUUGUGUACCCAUGUUCAUAGCAGCUUUAUUCACAAUAGCCCAGAGGUGGAAGCAACCCAAGUGUCCUUGAGAGAUAAGUGGAUAACAAAAUGUAUACUUAGAAUACUAGUCAGCCUUAAGAAAGAAGGAAAUCCUGACACAUGCCACAACAUAGAAAAAGCUUGAAGACAUUAUGCUAAAUGAAAUCAGCCAGUCACAAAAGGCAAAUGAUUUUGUUUAUAUGAGAUUUCUAGAAUAGUCAAACUCACACAGGCAGAGAGUAGAAUGGUGGUUUCUAGGGCCUGGGGAGAGGGAAUGGGGCAUUAGGGAAUUGAAAGGUUAUAGAGUUUUAGUUGGGGAAGAUGAAAAGUUCUAGAGAUGGAUGGUGGCAAUGGUUGUACAGCAAUGUGAGUGAACUUAAAGCCACAGUACAUUUAAAAAUGGUGAAGAAGGUAAAUUUUAUGUAUAUUCUACCACAAUAAAAGUAUUUAGGACAGUCUUUCCAUAUGGUACAUAUUUUAUAAAUGGUAUUAAUAUUGUUAUUGUAGUAUUACUAUUGUUAAAAAGAAUGGUAAGGCAUGAAGCUGGGAAGGUAGGCAGAAGCCAGAUUGUGUACAGAGGCAAGUUAAGGGAUUUGAACUUUAUCUUGAAGACACAGAAUCCUAUAAGGGUUUUUACUAAGGAGCUAAUCUGACGAGGUUUGUGUUUAGCACAACAGCUGUGUGGAAGAUGCCUUUUAAUGGGGACAAGACUGGAGUUGAGAGAAGACUGUUAGAAUAAUGUAAUAGAGAUAUUCUUGGUAUCUAAACUUAUCUGCUCAGGUGCUGCUCGGAGACGACAAACAUGGAGAGGAUAAGAUCUUAUUUUGGAAGACUGAAUUGACAGAAUCUGUCUUCUAUCUUAAAAAAAAAAAAAAGGUUCUUGAUCCUUGGGUAUUCACUGUGUGGAAUCUGCUAUAUCCCCUCACCUAUUAUGGUGGUUCUUUUGUGGACCAUUUUUGAUGUGCAGUGAUUUCAAGACUGGAUUUACUGACAUAAUGUCAAAAUCGGGAAAAGGUAAAAUGAUGGGAUUUGUUUUCCAGUGAUCUUUUUGUCAAUACUAGAGUUUUUCUGGCUUUGGAAGCAUGAUAGAAUGAUGUCUUUAGGGUGCAUCAAAAUCCUUUCCCUGCUAGUUACUGGAAAUGUCAUUGUUAUAUAAAUAUUCUCAAAUACAGGAAGUGGAGGAGAUGUUUGAAGAGGCAUCCCUUCUGAACAAAACCUGCCUGGAGGUAGAAGAGUUAAAGUAACAAAACCAAAGAAAGCAGGAUGAAUUCUUCCUCUGAUUUCCAUUUCAAGGGACAGGGACUCAUAUAACAGAGAGGAGAGGUGAGGGGGCUGUUAAACAGCUCUAUCUACCCACAGACAAGAUUAUGCCAUGUGUCACCACCACCCCUCACUGGCAUCUUCAAAUUCCCACCUGCUUCAUACUACUCGAAAACUUUUUCUUAACACAAAAGGGAUCUAAUAAAACUAUUUAUGUUAAGACAUAAAUGUCUGCUACUAUAGAAUAUGUUUAUUUUACCCGGUAUAUUUUUAAUUUAAAUGAGAAAAAACUUAUCAAAGUGAUGACUAAAAACACUUGUGACUAUCUAGUAGACACUCAGUAAAAAUGAUGAUGGAAACAACUAACAUUAUUUCCACCGAUAGACAAGUCCUGACUCCUUUCCAAAGAAUUAUGAACCAUCCAUUAGACAAAUAUUUGUGCCUAACUGUGAAAAAUUCAGUAAUCAAAAAUCUUUUCAAAGAAAAAUCGUUUUGGUUUUCCUCAAUAAACAUAAUGCUAUUGUUUUCUGUUUCUUAGAUCCUCUUUUUAUUUUUUUCUGCUGUACCUGUAGGUGUCUCCCUAAGUUCAGGAUUAUUCUGUUUCCCUGAAAAAAUAUUCUUGAACUAAUGCCCCAUCCUAGAGACCCAUAGGCUCUGCGAACACUGUCAGGAAAAGCACAUCUCUUUAAUAAUCUGCUUAGAUGUACCUAAUGUCAUCCUUUUUGAUUGUGGUUUGUGGUCAGUACAACUACGUGUUGAUAAUUGUUCAUGAACUGUGCUGCUCUUGUGCUAAAAUGAUGAGUUCAUUAGCAGUGAAGCUAGAAUGUGACCUUGGAUGUGAGAUUAUUACUGAAUUCUAUUUAGUAAAUCCGUCUCUAAUUCACAUUAACUCAUUUUAAGUCUCUAAUUAUUCACGGCCUAUUUCCUCCCUCUGCAUUCAAACCCCUUGUUAUACUGACCUCCUUUACCACUUAAUAUGAGAUCAGGGCAUGUUAUUAAGAGUAUUUACACACAACACAAAACACAAAUUACCCUGAAGCCCUUAAAAAAGAGCAAUGCAGAAUUUAGUAACUUCUUUCAGGGUUAUCUGAAAUAACAAUACCCUCUAAUAAUACCCUUGUGGUUCUGAGAUCAUUGGCAAAAUAUAAUUAAGGUAAAUGUCAUGAAUUUAUGUAAUAUACAAUUUUAUUGGUUGACUACCAUUUGUUAAAUUCUAAUAUGCUAUUACUUUUGGAAAAUAAAAACAUAGAUUUCAUUGUGUUUUAGCUAAGCUGCACAUAGCCAGUAAGCAUUACAUAUGUGUAUAACAAAAAGACAUCUUUGUGUUAUUUCCUUCUGUGAACAAAAAGCUUAGCCCAGAGCUUACUGAGGAGGGUAUAAGAGAAGAGUAACAGUAAUGACAUUCUUAGGCUUUCUGGAUUGUCUUUACUUGACUUUAAAUAGUCUGUCCUAUUGCCUAUUUAGUUUUGUCAUUUUAUUAGACCAUAUGGUCAUCAGAGCAAUUUAGUGACAAUUUUCUGUCAGAAUAAAUGGUUAUCCAGACAAUAAGUUUAAAAGGACACCAGGCAGAUGACUCUCUUUGCCUUUAAAGUGCUCUUUGGUUUAAGGCAUCAAAGACCUCUAAAAAUAUGUUUUUAAAUUGUAAAUACAUCUGCUAAAAGCCUAAUAUUAAAUUAAACAUUUACACUCAAUUCUAAAAACAUUGACUAAGAGGCCAUUGCUUAUCGUGCACAGGUUGCACACUGUCAAACUCCAGGGGGAGCCAUUUACUUUGCAGUCUUGCACUGUCCUAGUCCUGCAUGUAUUCUGCUGCAAUUUUCUGUCUUAAAAGAGGGAUGAUGAGAGAGCCCAUGUCAAAUGUUUGUUCUAAAGAUUAAAUGAGAUAAUGCACGAAACCUGCUUUGAACUGUGCGGCACACAGUAAAAGACUAAUAAAUGUUUUCCACAGUAA